GCCAUGUUAUCUUCUUUUUAUUUUUCUUCCGAUGCGCAUGGUAGAGGGAAGCCUCACCUUAAAAGGAACAAUUAUUCCUUUAAACCAGAAUCAAAAUCAACACCCCUCUUCCCUCAUUACCUCUGCACCGUUGUUAGUUUCAAGCAAGGACACAUAGGAGAACCACCAACAUGCAUUCUCUUCUUCAAAAACUGUGAGUUAAGUGAGAGGAGAGCUACCACCUACGUCCCCUUUCCUUGCACUCACUGGUUCGGCUGAGUCACAACAGCCAUGGAAAGUGUACCACAAGCUCAUUCUUCAUCAUCCCUUGCUCAUCAUUCCUCCCAUUGGCUGAAUGAGAAUACUCGAUGACAUGCAAGAUGAAACAGCAGCUCAACAUUUCCUUCUGCUCUUGUACACACCGUUCGCUUCAAGUAGGAAAAGUCACACCACCUUUGCAUGCAGCUGGUUGUGACUGGAGAGUGAGAUUGAUUUCCUUUCCCCCGUAUAACUAACUAUUGGAGGCUUGAAAGAAGGGUCACCAACAUCAAGAGGACUGAAUGGAAUUUGAGAUACCUAUAUGUAUUGGUUAAAGGGUAAAGACUCAAGGAGGACUUAGAAGAAAUUAAGGAAGUGUUUGAUGACAUGAUCACAUGAAUAAAUCUAUUUGAGUUAUGUUGUAGGCAACCUUGCUGUUUGCUCACUGUUUCUGCUGAUUGUAUUUUGAUUAUUUGACCUUGUUGUAUUUUCUUAAAGAAUGGCAUUCCAUGAUGUAUAUUCUGUUUUGUAAAGAAGCAUAGCCAUGAUGUAUAUUUUGUUUUGAAAAGAAACGUAGCAUGACUUUUAUAUGUUUUGUAUUUAGUUU